GCAAAACGCGAAGAACCUUACCCAGGCUUGACAUCCUGCUAAAGACCCCGAAAGGGGACUGUGCCUUCGGGCCGCAGUGACAGGUGAUGCAUGGCCGUCGUCAGCUCGUGUCGUGAGAUGUUUGGUUAAGUCCAUCAACGAGCGCAACCCUUAUAGUUAGUUGUAUUUCUCUAGCUAGACUGCCCUGGUAACAGGGAGGAAGGAGGGGAUGAUGUCAGGUCAGUAUUUCCCUUACGUCUGGGGGCUACAAACACGCUACAAUGGCCGGUACAAAGGGCAGCCAACCCGCGAGGGGGAGCAAAUCCCAUCAAAGCCGGUCUCAGUUCGGAUAGCAGGCUGAAACUCGCCUGCUUGAAGCUGGAAUCGCUAGUAAUGGUAGGUCAGCACACUACCGUGAAUACGUUCCCGGGUC
rnacentral:rRNA from 1 species